CAUGCGCACAUCAAUAAUACGUCAUUUUUGUCACGCUGAACAACACGCCCAUAAUAUUUUACUACUUGCGCGAGAUCUUUUUCAUUUGAGGUAAUGCAGAGGAGUACUGUGUGCUUUGCAGCAUGCUGGAGGACGACCCCAACGAAAGCAUGAUUGAAAAUUAUCAAUAUAAGCAAUACACACACCCAAAAAACAAUAGUUUAACUUUAUGUGCCAUGUUUGUUUGUUUUUUUUUGUAGAAUUUUGUUAUUUAAAUGAAAAGGUACAGUGUGAGAGCUGCAAUAGAUGGGCACAUUUUAAAUGUUGCAACUUCAGUAGCCUUAAUGUGUAUAAGUGCAAAAAGUGUGUAGUUGAGUGUAUGUGCCUUUAUCAUUUGCAAUGCUAACAGUCUUAGUCCAUAUUUAUAUUAAUAACUUAUUGUUUUACUUGUUUUGUAUUGUGCCUCUGUGUUGCAUGAUUUUGAAUUUUGAAAUGAAUUUGAUUAAAAAUCUCCUUUAUGUAUAUAUUCUAUCUGCUUGAUUAUAAAUGAUCUCAAUAACCAAUCUUAUUUCAAUUUACAUUAUCAUCUGGUUUAGAGUAAAUUUGUAACAUCUGUCCAGGGACUAUACAGAUUAAAAACUAAGACUCUCAAAUCAUCCUGUCUGUUUAUUUUUCCAGGACAAUCUGAUGAGGUAUUUUGCACCGUAAAAUCAUCCUACCUGUUUAUUUCAUACUGGUAGGACAAUUUGAUGAGGUAUUUUGCACUGUAAAAUCAUCCUACCCAUUUAUUUCAUACAGGUAGGACAAUUUGAUUAGGUAUUUUGCACUGUAAAAUCAUCCUACCCUUGUAUAUCAUACUGGUAGGGCAAUCUGAUGAGGCAUUUUGCAUCGUAAAAUCAUACUACUCGUUUAUUUC